UAUCCUCUCGCUAGACAAGCAAACUCAGCAAAGUAGUAAUGAAAACACUUCGGUGGUGGUGAGGGAAUCGGCUUUCCAAAUGUUUGAAAGUCCCUAAGGAUGUUUUCACAUUUGAGUCUUCUUUACAUCUGUGCAUGCUUGUACGUUAUUUUCCCGCUGAGCGGGCUUUUUCAAGCGCAGGAUAGACGCCUCAGGAUGUGAUAGAGAAGUCUAAAGCAGGAGAUAUCCCUAUAGUCAUUGAUGCAGUUCAGCUGAAUGUUAAACCAGAUUUUGCGAACCAGCCCGGUUUGCAGUGUCUGGUGACAGAUAGGCUACGGAGAGUUACGAAUGCGCUCUGUUUCAGCAGUGGAGAUUGAAGGAUGAUGAGAGCUGACAUCUUUCCCAGCCUUGCGAAAUUUUUUGAGGAUGGCCCUGAAUACAACGUUGGAUGAUUUGAAUUCCGUUUGCCCAGUUAUAUUAUAUUUAGAAAUAUAAAGGUUCAGUCCAGCUCUUAGGGAGAGAAAACUUGUCACUGAAUACUCUGUUGCGUGGAAAGCUCGCAGCUGGGUAUUUAAGGUGUUUGCCUCCUCUCUCUCUACCUCUUUAACAGAAGUAUUUUUAGAUUUAAGCCAGUCGUUAAAAACAAUUACUGCCCAAGCUGUUGUUUUUUUGGUGUUUACUUUGUGUUUUUCACCCCCAGGACUGUCUAGCUGUUCAUCGCUGAUUGUUUUAUGUAAUUUGCUGUUGCCGGCAGCCUUUGAUGUUCUCUUUCAUUUGUAACGUUUUUCAUCUGGACUGUCCAGUUCAGCUGCCGCCCAGUUGUUGAAAUUCUCAUGCUUUCCAUAAAUAUUAAAAGUUAUUUCUGGAAAAUUGAAAUUGUCUGUCAUUUUGUUUAAUGUUUGAUCUUUUUGUUUGUUGUUUGAUGCUGUGGUGGACUGUAGGCUAGCCUAUAACUUUUCCAUUAUUUCAGUUAACUUGACGGAGUGAUAUGGAACCGUUAUGCGGCCAAGACUUGGAACUAUUACCUAGCCGUGUGUUUCCUUGAAAAAUAAUUGCACACCUUAGAACGUCCGUCAACCAAUCAGAAUCAAGCAUUCAACAGACCUGUGGUAUAAUACAACAUAACCACACACACACCUCUACACACAUCAGACUGGUCUGUUAUUAUAAGCAGGUAUUGUGAUGUUUAUGAAGGAGAUUAAAAUUAUCAGGGCUCAUUUCCUUUUUUCUUAUUUUUUUUCUUAAACAAAAGUGGCUUUUGUGUGUGUG